ACUCCUACGGGAGGCAGCAGUAGGGAAUCUUCCACAAUGGGCGCAAGCCUGAUGGAGCAACACCGCGUGAGUGAAGAAGGGUUUCGGCUCGUAAAGCUCUGUUGUUAAAGAAGAACACGUAUGAGAGUAACUGUUCAUACGUUGACGGUAUUUAACCAGAAAGUCACGGCUAACUACGUGCCAGCAGCCGCGGUAAUACGUAGGUGGCAAGCGUUAUCCGGAUUUAUUGGGCGUAAAGAGAGUGCAGGCGGUUUUCUAAGUCUGAUGUGAAAGCCUUCGGCUUAACCGGAGAAGUGCAUCGGAAACUGGAUAACUUGAAGUGCAGAAGAGGGUAGUGGAACUCCAUGUGUAGCGGUGGAAUGCGUAGAUAUAUGGAAGAACACCAGUGGCGAAGGCGGCGUACCUGGUCUGCAACUGACGCUGAGACUCGAAAGCAUGGGUAGCGAACAGGAUUAGAUACCCUGGUAGGAUAGCG
rnacentral:rRNA from 1 species